AUGCUGAAUCCCAGGGAUGUGCCCCUCUCCCAUACCCGCAUGCCCCACACAGCUCCCUGUGGGUGCUGGGGGGCUGCAGAGCUGAGCCCGAAGGUGGCUCGGGAGAGGAACUGCCAGUUUUGUGUCCGUGGGCUGAGCUGGCGCUCAGUGCUGGGCUCGGGGGGCCGGGGGGUCGGGCACAGCUCCGUGACCUUGGGGGCUUUGCCAGCCCCGGGGGUCCCAGGGCUCCCUAAAGGGGGGUCCUGCCCAGCUCUGCAGCCUGGGGGGGACUGGGGCUCCUGGGGUCCUGGCAGCUGCAUGGGAUGGAUGUGUGCACGGGGUGAUCCCAUGGGAUAACCUUGGGUCCUGGCAGCUGUAUCUGUGGGGUGAUCCCACGGGAUCCCCUCCCUGUAAAUAACACACAGGAUGGAGUUGUCAGAGUUCUGAGGAACAAGAAUUGCAGCAGACCCCCUGUCAGGAUGCAGGAGAUGCCAAAAUGCCUUCCCACUUUCCUUCUCCUCCCAGCUCUGUUUUUAGCCCUGCUGGCUGGAGCUGUUUCCUCUGGGACGCGUCCUGCUCUUGCCAGCAGGAUGGGCUCUGCUCCUGCUCCUCCCUGCCCUGUGCUGCCCUGGCUCCCUGCAGUGGCCCAGGCCAGGCUGCCUUGGAGCACCCUGGCAUGGUGGGAGCCAUGGCACAGAGUUGGAAUUCAAUGGUUUUGAGGUCCCUUCCAACCCAAACCAGUCUGGCAUUCCAUGGUUCUCCUGGGACAUUUCUGUGGUGGGUGAAGGAAUGCUGAGCUGCCUUAAAGUCUUUUCCUGCCUGCUCCUCUUAACUCCAUCAUUCCUCGACUUUGAUACAACUUCUGAAAACUGCUUUUAGUUUUCCUUGGGAGCCUGUUAACUAUUAGGUGAUUCAAAGAGAAGCCACCGUUCCCACCUGUUAUUUGUGUCUGGUUUAGCCCAGCUGUGCAUUCCUCAGGCCUUUGUACCUGGGGUAUGGAACUGUGAACAGGCUCUUGGACAGAAAAUGUUACUUUUUGGCUCUUCUUCUUGAGUAAGACUGCUGAGUUCUUCAUUAUUGUUUUUUAAUUAAUACAUUUUAAAUUAAUUUAAGAACUAAUACUUUCUUGAUGCUAUUGCCACUUUUUAAAUUACAGCUUGUGUUGCUACUCUCUCGUUGCACAGUCUGAGUUAUUCUGAAGAUGUUUUUAUUAUUAUAUGGGGAUGAAAUACAUGUAAAGCUGCAGAAUAGUCAAUAUUGACAAUAAAUACAUUUAAUUCUUGUCAUUACUUUUCAGUUCUGAUGGUUUUUACCUUCAUUCUUCAGAACUGGAAGGUUUUUUUUUCUGUUUCAAGUAUAUAUUUGUGUCUAUAUAUAUAUCUAGGCAAUUUGUGGGGUCAUGUAAAGAGGUCAUGCAAAAAGGCCAUGCAAAUUUCCUUGGGAACAAUGAAAAUGGUCUAAAUUUUUGUACAGAAAUAAAGAUUUAGUGUAAAUGUGGAGGAGUUCUGAGGGAGGCCCUUGUGCUGUGGGAUCCUCACAGAUUUUGUGUCAUUUCCUGAGUUCAUGGGUGGAAAUCAGAGCUGUGUAAGCAACAAAUAAACCAAACUGUCUGUGUGGAGCUGGCCAGGGAAUUUCUUGGGGAUCCAUCGUGCCUGGGAUGCCAAAGGUGCUGCAGGUUUGGGUGAUGAAUGGAGGAAAAUCCUGAAAUUCCUGAACUUUGCUUGAGAAAUCCCAAUGUCUG
ensembl:lncRNA